rnacentral:miRNA from 1 species
AAAAACCUGAAUGACCCUUUUGG